CAAAAGCAUGAGCUAAAAACAACAACCCAAAACUACCGCUCUCCCGUCUGUCUUGGUGCUAAACGGGUCCACAGCCAGGCCUUUAGUCCAUCACACCAACAUAGUGACCUGUGCACACGUAUUGGGCUGUGGGCCGAAGAUUGGGUCUAAACUUCCAGAAUGAGUUGGACGUCCAUCUCCCAUGAAUAGAUGCAUCCCUAUGUGACUUCCCUAUGUGCAAACUGCACUCCUCGCUGGCACCGUCUCCCUCCUCUGGGCUCUGCCACUUUCAUCCACAUCCCGUUAGACUCGCACAGCUGGAGGAACGACCCCGAGUAAUGCUCACCCAUCAAGACGCUAGACUUCACAGUUACCACUGGAGAUGUGUAUUAGUUGCUUGUUGUUCUUAUCUGUUCCUUCACGACUGGGGGAGGCCUCCCUCCCUGAGUCUGCUCCUGCUGGAGGCUUCCUGAACUGAAAUGGAGUCACAGCCAUUUCACGUUUCAUUCCCGUUUUGAAAUGAAAAUAAAAACCUGUUUGUGUAUGAAAUCUACAUUUUCCACGUGAACUUAAGGGCGUGAGACGGUCUUCAAAGAGGAGAUUCUGCAUUAUAUGAGCUGAUGCUGAUUCUUUGCCAGAGGAAUGUUUUCAAUAGUGCGUCGGCAGCGUUUGAUGUGAGUCUGAGACGCUGAAUUAUUUUUCUCACAUUAUCCGAGAAGACAGCGCCAGGUUAUACUUCAAGUCAUCUGACUGGCAGACAGAGGAACAGUCCACUGAGCCACUCACAUGUUUCACCAUGGCAGGUUUCCACAUGCAACACGGUCCAGUUCAAGGCAGAAAACAGUGUGUGUGUAUUUACGUCACGCGUCUGUCUCAUCAGUCUCUUUCUGCCAGAGGAGAGAGGCU